rnacentral:rRNA from 1 species
UGAAUACGAGAUGCUACGGCGUCGAAGCAGUCUAUGUCAUACUUCCAAGAAAAGCUUGCACUGUCAUAAACAAAUAAUGCCUGUACCAUAACCGACACAGGUGGGUAGGUAGAGUAUACUAAGGGGCGCGAGAUAACUCUCUCUAAGGAACUCGGCAAAAUGACUCCGUAACUUCGGGAGAAGGAGUGCCUUAUUUAUAAGGUUGCAAUAACAAGAUCCAAGCAACUGUUUACCAAAAACACAGGUCUCCGCUAAGUCGUAAGACGAUGUAUGGGGGCUGACGCCUGCCCAGUGCCAGAAGGUUAAAGAAGUUGGUUAGCAUCCGCGAAGCUGAUAACUGAAGCCCUGGUGAACGGCGGCCGUAACGAUAACGGUCCUAAGGUAGCGAAAUUCCUUGUCGGGUAAGUUCCGACCCGCACGAAAGGCGUAAUGAUUUGGAUACUGUCUCGGAGAGGGGCUCGGUGAAAUAGACUUGUCUGUGAAGAUGCGGACUACCUGCACCAGGACAGAAAGACCCCAUGAAGCUUUACUGUAACCUGAAAUUGAAAUUGGACUUUACUUGCGCAGUAUAGGUGGGAGGCGUUGAGAAUAUUCUUGCGGGAUUAUUGGAGCCAUCAGUGAGAUACCACUCUUGUAAUGUUAGAUUUCUAACUUUGUAUCAUUAUCUGGUCAAAGAACAGUUUCAGGCGGGCAGUUUGACUGGGGCGGUCGCCUCCUAAACGGUAACGGAGGCGCACAAAGGUUUCCUCUGAACGGGUAGAAAUCGUAUCUAGAGUGUAAAGGCAUAAGGAAGCUUGACUGUGAGACCUACAAGUCGAGCAGGGACGAAAGUCGGUCUUAGUGAUCUGACGGUGCUGAGUGGAAAGGCCGUCACUCAACGGAUAAAAGUUACUCUAGGAUAACAGGCUGAUCUCCCCCAAGAGUUCACAUCGACGGGGAGGUUUGGCACCUCGAUGUCGGCUCAUCGCAUCCUGGGGCGGUAGUACGUCCCAAGGGUUGGGCUGUUCGCCCAUGAAAGCGGUACGCGAGCUGGGUUCAGAACGUCGUGAGACAGUUCGGUCCAUAUCCGGUGUAGGCGUUAGAAUAUUGAGAGGAGCCUUCUUUAGUACGAGAGGACCGAGAAGGACAUACCUCUGGUGUACCAGUUAUCGUGCCAACGGUAAACGCUGGGUAGCUAUGUGUGGAGUGGAUAACCGCUGAAAGCAUCUAAGUGGGAAGCCCACCUCAAGAUAAGUAUUCUCAC